rnacentral:rRNA from 1 species
GACAGAGGUGGCGAGCGUUGUUCGGAUUUAUUGGGCGUAAAGAGCGCGUAGGCGGUCUUUUAAGUCGGUGGUGAAAUCCCGGGGCUUAACCCCGGAACUGCCCCCGAUACUGGAAGACUUGAGUGCGGGAGAGGAUAGUGGAAUUCCCAGUGUAGAGGUGAAAUUCGUAGAUAUUGGGAAGAACACCAGUGGCGAAGGCAGCUAUCUGGACCGCAACUGACGCUGAGGCGCGAAAGCGUGGGGAGCAAAC